UACGGAGGGUGCAAGCGUUGUUCGGAAUCACUGGGCGUAAAGGGCGUGUAGGCGGUCCGCUAAGUCUGAUGUGAAAGCCCGAGGCUUACCCUCGGAAGUGCAUUGGAGACUGGCGGACUGGAGUCCCGGAGAGGAGGGUGGAAUUCCUGGUGUAGCGGUGAAAUGCGCAGAUAUCAGGAGGAACACCGGUGGCGAAGGCGACAUCCUGGACCGGUAUUGACGCUGAGGCGCGAAAGCCAGGGGAGCAAACGGG
rnacentral:rRNA from 1 species